rnacentral:rRNA from 1 species
UACGAAGGGGGCUAGCGUUGUUCGGAAUUACUGGGCGUAAAGCGUGCGCAGGCGGCUUCUCAAGUCAGGGGUGAAAGCCCAGAGCUCAACUCUGGAAUUGCCUUUGAGACUGAGUGGCUUGAGUACGGGAGAGGUGAGUGGAAUUCCCAGUGUAGAGGUGAAAUUCGUAGAUAUUGGGAAGAACACCGGUGGCGAAGGCGGCUCACUGGCCCGUAACUGACGCUCAUGCACGACAGCGUGGGGAGCAAACGGG